rnacentral:misc_RNA from 1 species
CCGAACUGUCGACACGAGUUGUUGCUGGUCCUCGAAAGGGGAUAUGUGCACGCUCUGUUUACACAUCCACUCACACCUGUGCACCCUUGUAGUUCUAUGGCCUGGGGACUUGGUCCUCUUGCUGUGGUCCUAUGUCUUUACACACACACCGUAACAAAGUAUCGUGGAAUGUACAUCGCGUUUAACGCAAUACAAUA